ensembl:ncRNA
AGUAGAAUAGCAGGCUUAUCACA